GACGAACGCUGGCGGCGUGCUUAACACAUGCAAGUCGAACGGAAAGGCCCUGCUUUUGUGGGGUGCUCGAGUGGCGAACGGGUGAGUAACACGUGAGUAACCUGCCCUUGACUUUGGGAUAACUUCAGGAAACUGGGGCUAAUACCGGAUAGGAGCUCCUGCUGCAUGGUGGGGGUUGGAAAGUUUCGGCGGUUGGGGAUGGACUCGCGGCUUAUCAGCUUGUUGGUGGGGUAGUGGCUUACCAAGGCUUUGACGGGUAGCCGGCCUGAGAGGGUGACCGGCGACAUGGGGACUGAGAGACGGACCAGAAUCCUACGGGAGGCAGCAGGGGGGAAUAUUGCACAAUGGGCGGAAGCCUGAUGCAGAAACGCCGGGUGCGGGAUGACGGCCUUCGGGUUGUAAACCGCUUUCGCCGGUGACGAAGCGUGAGUGACGGUAAUGGGUAAAGAAGCACCGGCUAACUACGUG
rnacentral:rRNA from 1 species